rnacentral:tRNA from 1 species
GGAGGGGUCGCAUAGUGGCCUAGUGCGCUCGCUUGGAAAGCGAGUAAGGUGUAACAGCCUUCGCGGGUUCGAAUCCCGCCUCCUCCGC